rnacentral:tRNA from 1 species
CCCUGGUGGCUCAGAGGUUAAAGCGCCUGCCUGCAAUAUGGGAAACCCAGGUUCAAUCCCUGGAUCAGGAA